UCAGACGAUGCGUCAUGCAUAUCAAUAAGCGGAGGAAAAGAAACUAACAAGGAUUCCCCUAGUAACGGCGAGUGAAGCGGGAAGAGCUCAAAUUUGAAAUCUUAAAGGGUUUCCCUUUACGAAUUGUAGUUUAAAGAAGUGUUUUCUGUUGAGGUUUUGGUAAAAGUUCUUUGGAAUAGGACAUCAUAGAGGGUGAGAAUCCCGUAUUUGACCUUUACUUUCAACUUUGUGAUACACUUUCAAAGAGUCGGAUUGUUUGGGAAUGCAGUCCAAAAUGGGUGGUAAAUUUCAUCUAAAGCUAAAUAUUGGCGAGAGACCGAUAGCGAACAAGUACCGUGAGGGAAAGAUGAAAAGAACUUUGAAAAGAGAGUUAAACAGUACAUGAAAUUGUCAAAAGGGAAGCGUUUGACACCAGUGUUGUUUUUCUGAAAAUCAAUUAAAGAACUGUUUAUGCUAAGCUGUUUAGACUUUAUCAGCUAAUCUGUUUAGUUUUGAGCUUUUCUUUAAUGCACUUUUCAGUUAACAAGUCAACAUCAAUUUCUUUUGCUGUAAAAAAGCUUGAGGAAGGUGGCUUGAGAUUCGUCUUAAGUGUUUAUAGCCUCUUGCCUAUGCAGUCGGAGAGAUUGAGGUCUGCAGCGUAGAUCCUUCGGGGCUAAAUGCAUUUGUGCUAAGUUAUAGCAUUUAUAGACAACUUGUUGACUAUGAUUUGUCUUGUAGCUUACUCGCUUAUGUUAUUUUACCUACGCUUAGGAUGUUGAAUCUGUGCGAGACUAC
rnacentral:rRNA from 1 species